UACAGAGGGUGCAAGCGUUAAUCGGAAUUACUGGGCGUAAAGCGUGCGUAGACGGUUGCGUAAGUCAGAAUGUGAAAGCCCCGGGCUCAACCUGGGAAUUGCAUUUGAGACUGCGUAGCUAGGGUGCGGAAGAGGGAAGCGGAAUUUCCGGUGUAGCGGUGAAAUGCGUAGAGUAUCAGGAGGAAUACCGAUGGCGAAGGCAGGUCUCUGGGCUGACACUGACGCUCAUGCACGAAAGCGUGGGGAGCAAACAGG
rnacentral:rRNA from 1 species